UACGAAGGGUGCAAGCGUUACUCGGAAUUACCGGGCGUAAAGCGUGCGUAGGUGGUGAGUUAAGUCUGUCGUGAAAGCCCCGGGCUCAACCUGGGAAUGGCGAUGGAUACUGGCUCGCUAGAGUGCGGUAGAGGAGAGUGGAAUUCCCGGUGUAGCAGUGAAAUGCGUAGAGAUCGGGAGGAACAUCAGUUGCGAAGGCGGCUCUCUGGACCAGCACUGACACUGAGGCACGAAAGCGUGGGGAGCAAACAGG
rnacentral:rRNA from 1 species